AAUAUUAUUGACAUGGGAAAGCACUGCUCACUACUCCAUUACUGGAAUUUAGCAACAAUUAUGUAAAAAAUGGGAUUUCAUGGUCACUGGAAUUUGUUGAUGGUGUUUUUGAAGAGGGGGAGGCUUUCUGCUCCUUUGCCUGUUUAAAAUUGAGUUAACUUAAUUAAGCUUUGUCAACUACUUGUUUACCACUGUUUGACCUAUUGUGGGCCCGCUUAGUGACAUAGGAUAGGACCCUUAGCACUCACUCUCAAUCCUCGCUCCAUGCUCCCCUCUUGCAAAUUUUUAUAGUUUGGAAUGUUUCUAAAGACUCUUUGACACAAUCACGCACAUGCAUUAUGUGAAUUUUGUUGUGAGCACCGGUAAACUGACAAUUGGGAAUUGAUGAGAGUGGUCUCACUGCCAUUGAGGAUUGAAGUUUUGAAUCUUAUUUGCAGUUUGGUGGGAUGUGAUAGUCAAUUUGGGUGACAAAAACUAAUUUAAUGUAUGAAAACUACACUUCCACUUUGUGCUUUUGCUUUGUUAGCCAAAACUUCUGUUUAUGGAAUAAAUUCCAGUUGAUAGCCCAUCCAAUGAGUUAAAUCAGUUAGUAAAUGAAGGUACCUCAGUUGUAUUUCUAUUCUAUCUUUCUGAACUUGAAUUGAGCCCCCAAUAGUGUUUUUACUCGACCGCUAUAAGUUCACCACUGUGUUUUUACUUCAUACCCUUGGGGGGACAUAUUUGGAAGGAUCCGUAAAGAUGGGCAGGUCGUGGAAGAAGUUGCUUAGGACCCGUUUGUACCUUCACGAUUGAAUCAUCACAAGGUUCGUACUCUUUAUAUUUGGUGGUUGUUAUGUCUGCAAUUUCUAUUUAGCCAACCCUCUCUGAAUUUGCAUCAGAGUUCAGCAGGUGUAUUAGUUCCUAACAGACAAGUACAAACAUGGUGAUCCCUGAAUAAGUUUGGGCUACUGUUUUGAACCUGGAAGAGGAAGUUGGUGCUGCUGUUUCGGGUUGCUGUUCCGGACUCGGGGGUUGCUGCUGUUUCAGGUUGCUAUUCUGGUUUAGGUGUGCUACUGCUUUUUUAUUUAUGAAUUAUGAAACUUUUUUCGUUGUAAUAUCAGACUUGGAGGUAUGGAAUUUAUUUUCAGACAGUUUCCAUUGUUGUUUUUAGCUAUUUAAUGGGUUGAUUGAGUCUA